UGUGUUUCCAGCUGUAACACCCAGUGAACACUACAACAAAAAUAAGUAAUAAAAAGUAACUUAAAGUGCAUAAAGUCGACACUAAAACACGGAAAUUGCUUCUGGCUGAAGAGCCGCCUACCUCUCCCA